rnacentral:lncRNA from 1 species
GUUUGCUGGAAUGUGGGAAAGGGAAUAGAAAUGAGCGCUGACGUGCCUAGAUUUGCCCAGGCCACGACAGUACCUGUGAGCAUCUGCCCAGGUCUAGGCGACCUUCAGCCUCUGACCCUUGGGAUAAUAUGGACCAAGGAAAUCCUUGGCCAAUUCAGUGUUUUGAAAAUUUAAAAGUAAACCCUAUAGCAAUCCACUAGGGGGCAUGGAACUCUCAAGAUUACUCCUAGGAUUUUUUUUUGCUGCCAAAGCCCCAACACAAAUCUCCGAGAAACUGGAUUUGCUGUAAAUUAAAUUGCCCUUUAAAUCGACUAUGAACAGUAGCUGAAAUCAAAAAUUUUAAUCAUACAGGCCUAUAUUUUACAGUGUGCACAUUUCACAUAACAUAACCACCAGCCAGGAUUUAUCUAGGCCAGGGUCCAAAUACUUUCUGUAGAAGGCCAGAAUGGAAACAGUUCCAGUUUGGGGGGACCAUACAACUUGUCUCAAAUAGUCAACUCUGCAGCUGUUGCAUACAAAAGCUAAAGGAAUGGCGGUGGCUGUGUCCCAAUAAAAAGAUACAGACAUUGAAAUUUUAAUUUCAUACAAUUUUUUGUGUCCAAAAAUAGCAUUCUUUAAAUAUUUUUUCCAACCAUUUAAAUAUGUAAAAACCUUUCUUUGCUCACAGGCCAUACAAACACAGGCAGCAGGCCCGAUUUGACCCACAAGGCAUAGUUUACCAUCUCUAGUGUACACUAACAUAAACUGCUCUACUUUUCCAAAGAAGUACGCUUUAGGACAGAGGAGGAUGAACGAGUAUGUCGGGGAGUGGGGGGGCGCGGAGCUUCAUGAUACCCUCAAUCAGUCACCACAAGCUAGACAGUUUACAAAGGUCUGCUUUAUCACUGAAUUGAUAAAAUACACAUUAUUUUUUAUUUAUUUAUUUAUUUUUUUGAGACGGAGUCUCGCUCUGUCGCCCAGGCUGGAGUGCAAUGGUGCGAUCUCCGCUCACUGCAAACUCCGCCUCCUGGGUUCACGCUAUUCUCCUGCCUCAGCCUCCCCAGUCGCUGGGACUACAGGCGCCUGCCACCACGCCCAGCUAAUUUUUUGUAUUUUUAGUAGAGACGGGGUUUCACCGUGUUAGCCAGGAUGGUCUCGAUCUCCUGACCUUGUGAUCCGCCCGCCUCGGCCUCCCAAAGUGCUGGGAUUACAGGCGUGAGCCACCGUACCCGGCCAUCAUUAAUUUUUAUUAAGGUUACUGUAUUGCUUACCAUAUACAAUUGCUACUUAAAUUCUCUAAUCUUUCUGCCUGAAUUCUUUAAAUAAAGUUAACACUGCUUGGUAUAACCCCAGCACAACACAGGAUAAUGCUCCCAGUACUCCCAGUGACACAAACCUGCUAGAGAAAGGAAAACGAUUAUCCAUGAUAGUAUGAGGCAGGAAUAAAAUUAGGCCAUCUUGCCAUAGCAGGCGGUCUUCUUUUGGUUCUAUGACACAGAAGGUGGCUUGAUCACAGCACAAUUUCUUUAUCCCAACUUCCUAGCAAUCAAAGAGUUUUUCUCUUGGUGGAGCACAGGGGCUCACACUUGGAAUCCCAGCACGUUGGGAGGCUGAGGUAGGAGAAUUUCCUGAGCCCAGGAGUUUGAGACCAGCCUGGGCAACAUGAUGAGACCUUAACUCUACAAAAAUUUUGAAAACUAGCUGAGCACGGUGGUGCAACCCUGUGGUCCCAAGCUACUUGGGAGGCUGAGAUGGGAGGAUCACUUAAGCCCAGGAGGUCAAGGCUGCAGUGACCUAUGUUCAUACCACUGCACUCCAGCCUGGGCGACAGAGUGAGACCAACUCAAAAAACAAACAAACAAACAAACAAACAAACUUUCUCUCUCGAGUCCAGUGAUUCUCCCUCAACGCUCAAGACUCCAGCAUGAACUGUUAGGCAUUGGGUUUUUCUGUGUUUACAGCAGACCAUGGUAAAAAGAAGUCCCAAGUCACAGCCAGAACGCCAAAGUAAGAUCUGUUGAGUGCUAGGCUCAUGGACUGAGCCUAAUCUUAUUUUCCACUCUGCCUCAAACAAAACAACUCAUUUGCCCAUACAACCCAUGGCAUCCUUUCACAGUAACAAGGACAACAGGACACCUCCAGUACUUUUUAUUUUUUUUGAGAUGGGAGUCACCCAGGCUGGAGUGCAGUGGCGCGAUCUCGGCUCACUGCAACCUCCGCUUCCCCGAUUCAAGCGAUUCUCCUGCUUCAGCCUCCUGAGUAGCUGGGAUUAAAGGUGCGUCCCACCGUGCCUGGCUAAUUUUUGUAUUUUUAGUAGAGACGGAGCUCUGCCAUGUUGGUCAGGCUGGCCUUGAACUCCUGACCUCAUGACCCGCCCGCCUUGGCCUCCCAAAGCGCUAGGAUUACAGACGUGAGCCACCGCGCCCGGCAAUAUCUCCAAUACUUUAAUACUUGGUUGAAAAGAACCCAUUGCACUGUUUCCCACUGUUUGUCCCAGUACUUUAGUUUUAUGAUCUCAUUUGGGUUUUUGUAAAAGCAGUCUUCCUACAAGCCUAGUAAAGGAAAUUCUUUCUUUCUCAUUUUGCCAAAUGUAGCAUUUAAUUGAUUUUUUUUUUUUUUUUUUUUUUGAGCUAGAGAGAGUCUUGCUCUGUCACCCAGGCAGGAGUACAGUGGCAUGAUCUCGGCUCACUUCAAUCUCCACCUCCUAGUUCAAGCGAUUCUCCGCCUCAGCCUCCAGAGUAGCUGGGAGCUACUCCAUGUACCACAAUGCCCAGCUAAUUUUUUUGUAUUUUAGUAGUGAUGGGGUUUCACCCUGUUCCCCAGGCUGGUCUCAAACUCCUGAGCUCAGACAAUCCACCCACCUCAGCCUCCCAAAGUGCUAGGAUUACAGCGUGAGCCACCACACCUGGCCAAUUCUAAUUCUGUGUAAAAUGAGUGAAACACAGCUAAACUAGAACUAGUCCUUGCUAGCAUGUUAAUAUAGAUUUUGCUCAAACAUCUGCCAUCCCCAUCCUGUUGCAGAGAUGACCAACAACCCUGGGUCCACAGCAUGUUCCAAAUCUCUCAAGUAGUACUAAAUCUAUUACUUCUAGUACCCCAGCCUUUUUCCCCCUCCUGGUGGCAAAAUUCAAGUAUCUCACACGCACCCUAAAUGUCUCUUCCUCUAUGCAGGGAACUUUUGGUUGCCUCCCCAAAUAAACGGCAUUGUUCAAACUCAGAGCUCAGAACAAACCAAUGAAAAAAAAAAAAGGAAAUAGCGUAUUUGUUUUAACUUUUUAUUAAAAUGCUUAGGAUACAGAUUGACUUUCUUUCGUAAAUGACUGUUUUACUUUUCCUGAAGUAGGACAUAUAUACUUCACUGAGCCUCUGC